CUUCACUCUACCAGAAACAACUGCUCACAGGACACAUCUGGCCCCCAUGUCUUUUUAAAUGAAAGGAAAUCAAGAUAAGGUGAAGAGGAGAUCAGUUGCCUCUGCAGAAGGUGUCUGAGAAGGAGAUGUUGAAGAAAUUCCACAGAUAUUUCCGUGGAAGUAUCAAGAAGACCUAGAGUAAGGCAUCAUCAAAUUGAUAGACUUGAACAAAAGGGAGGAGUGAGACAGACGGAUGGAUACAGAGCAUGGAGGGUGGUCAGGAAAGGCAGAGUCUGGAGAAUUUGAGCAGUGAUCUCAACAAAGAAAAGAAGAAAGUCAUAAGAUGAUAAGAACAGAGGAUUUUUUUGGCUAA
rnacentral:lncRNA from 1 species